UACGUAGGGUGCGAGCGUUGUCCGGAUUUAUUGGGCGUAAAGGGCUCGUAGGCGGCGUGUCGCGUCGGGAGUGAAAGCCCGCUGCUUAACGGCGGGUUGGCUUCCGGUACGGGCAUCGCUGGAGUGCGGCAGGGGAGACUGGAAUUCCGGGUGUAGCGGUGGAAUGCGUAGAGAUCCGGAAGAACACCGGUGGCGAAGGCGGCCCGCUGGGCAACUGCUGACACUGAUGCGCGACAGCGUGGGGAGCAAACAGG
rnacentral:rRNA from 1 species